rnacentral:rRNA from 1 species
GAUGAACGCUAGCGGCAGGCUUAAUACAUGCAAGUCGAGGGGCAGCAGGUCCCGCGGCAAUGCGGGAUGCUGGCGACCGGCAAACGGGUGCGGAACACGUACGCAACCUACCCAUAACUGGAGGACAGCCCGGGGAAACCCGGAUUAAUACUCCGUAACAUAUUGAGAAGGCAUCUUCUUACUAUUAUAGUCUUCGGGCGGUUAUGGAUGGGCGUGCGCCUGAUUAGGAGUUGGCGGGGUAACGGCCCACCAAGCCUACGAUCAGUAACUGGUGUGAGAGCACGACCAGUCACACGGGCACUGAGACACGGGCCCGACUCCUACGGGAGGCAGCAGUAAGGAAUAUUGGGCAAUGGACGCAAGUCUGACCCAGCCAUGCCGCGUGGAGGAUGAAGGUCCUCUGGAUU